rnacentral:rRNA from 1 species
UACGUAGGGUGCGAGCGUUGUCCGGAUUUAUUGGGCGUAAAGAGCUCGUAGGCGGCUUGUCACGUCGGGUGUGAAAGCCCGGGGCUUAACCCCGGGUCUGCAUUCGAUACGGGCUGGCUAGAGUGUGGUAGGGGGAGAUCGGAAUUCCUGGUGUAGCGGUGAAAUGCGCAGAUAUCAGGAGGAACACCGGUGGCGAAGGCGGAUCUCUGGGCCAUUACUGACGCUGAGGAGCGAAAGCGUGGGGAGCGAACAGG